UAUGUACUACAUGCCUACAACGUUAAUGCAUCGGAUCCCAUUAUAACUUUGCAGUUAAACACGCUUGGGCUAGCGUAGUACUGGGAUGGGUUAUAUCAUGGGAAGUCUUAGUGUUUUACAUGC
rnacentral:rRNA from 1 species